UGUACAUGUUCGGCGAAGGUUAGUGGUUGAACCAGAGCAUGAGAGAAGGAAAGAGAGGGCUUGGCGACCUCGCAGGAGCGACGCGAAGCUCGGCACAAGUUCUAUUUCGUUGGAACGGCAGCAAUUUGUGCGUUACCCGGUGGCAGAAAAGAUCUGCCCAUCCGCAAGGUUCAGCGGCUCACGGAGCAAAACUAGGGCACCAGGCCACUUGAGAUAGGAACAGGGUCUCGGAGGAGUGCCUAACCUUCUAAAAGAGGCGCCUAACGCGUGCAAUUGGCAACAAAUCUCAGGAACCCUGGGAUUGGGCAGCGUCGGCAUCGGUUUCUGUCCUACUCAGACAUACUCAGACAUGGCUCAGGGUAGAAGAAGAAGAAGUCAUUGUCAACUGGGGUCCCGUGGACAGCGACCAGAGAGGAAAGGGAAAGGGGGAGGCCGCGGGGCUGGCUUGGGCCGAGGCUAGGAGGGAAGGGAGGGGCGCGUUGGCGGGCCGAGCUGAGUUGGGUCGUGUCCUGGGGGCAUGAGCGCUGGGCCGAGGGAGCAGAAGAAAGGUUGGGCCUCACUGUGAGGAUCAGGGAGAGGUAGAGUUGGGCCACUCGGGCCAAAAGGAUAAGAAGGGGAGAUUUUCCUUUUUCUUUUGUUUUUUUUUUCAAAGCCUUUUCCAAACAAUUUAAAAACAGUUUGAAAUAUUUUGACUUCGCUCAAAUUCACACAGUGAAAUAAACCAUAUGCUCCAUCAUGAAUGCACAAUCAUGUUGCUAAAUUCCUUAGAUAAAUCUUAUUUAAAUGAAAAAUAUUAUUUUUCCUAUAUUCUAUGAGCACAAAAAUACAAAAUUAAAUCAAUUCAGCUCUAUUUCCAAAGGAACAAAUUUUAGGGUGUUACAAAUCUACCCCCUUAAAAUGAAUCUCGUCCUCUAGAUUCGGAAGAGGCUCGGAUUCAAAAAGAGAAACAGGAACAGGAUCUUAAUAACCCUUUUAACUUCACAACUUGUAUUCCAAAUGUAAACACUUAUGUCUCAGAAUCACAACU
rnacentral:lncRNA from 1 species